rnacentral:rRNA from 1 species
AACGAACGCUGGCGGCAGGCCUAACACAUGCAAGUCAAGCGAGAAGCCACCUUCGGGUGGUGGGCAGCGGCGGACGGGUGAGUAACGCGUAGGAAUUUACCUCGGAGUGGGGGACAACCACUGGAAACGGUGGCUAAUACCGCAUACGCCCAUCUGACAUGAGGUCGGAUGGGGAAAGAUUUAUUGCUCUGGGAUGAUCCUGCGUCGGAUUAGCUUGUUGGUGAGGUAACGGCUCACCAAGGCUGCGAUCCGUAGCUGGUUUGAGAGGAUGAUCAGCCACACUGGGACUGAGACACGGCCCAG